AUUUGUUCAUCUAAGUUUACUUAAUAUGAAUAUUUUUGGUCUUCGUUUCAUACAUAUCCAAAAUAUUCCAUCUGCUAGACUAGGCGAGAUAUUGGAAAUAAGAGAUUUAGCAAAAACGCACAUUCGGAGCAAAAGGUGAUUAUCAAAUUAUUCAUUGACAGGAAUGAUCAAAGAUCUAGGACCAAAGCCUUCAAGAUUGCUGUUUCUCAACCAGGUGUGGAUUCAGCAGCUAUAAAGGAAGGUGAAAGUUACGAAUUAGAAGUUGUUGGAGAGCAUAUUGACGCAGUAAUUCUUACCAACUGCCUCAGGAAGAAAUUGGGCCACGUCGAAUUGAUAAGCGUUGGCCCUAUUGACGACGACAACGACAACGACAACGACAAUACCGUUAGCACAAACUCCGAUGCAAAUCCUCAACCCAAUAUAUAUAGUUAUUUCCCCGAUUUUGGCGCACCACAAUACCAAGUUUACGAAGUUAGAGAUCCAAAUCCAGAAUGUUGCUCCAUUAUGUGAAUGCUAAUUAAUUAAUUAGUUGAAUUAUCUUACAUUUAUAAAAUCAUCAGUAUACUGUAUAUUCCUUUGAAUUAUUAGAGUUUUAUUGAGGUGAAUCAAUUAAUUUAAUGUAUGAUUACUGGGUUUUAUAUGAUAUAAUAUUGAAAUCUUUUAUC